rnacentral:rRNA from 1 species
GACGUAGGGUGCGAGCGUUGCCCGGAUUUAUUGGGCGUAAAGGGCGCGUAGGCGGUCACGCACGUCCGUUGUGAAAUCGCUCGGCUCAACUGGGCGGGGUCAGCGGAUACGGCGUGGCUGGAGUAUGGGAGAGGUGAGUGGAAUUUCCGGUGUAGCGGUGAAAUGCGUAGAUAUCGGGAGGAACACCUGUGGCGAAAGCGGCUCACUGGACCACAACUGACGCUGAUGCACGAAAGCUAGGGGAGCAAACAGG